AGGAGGAGGAGGAGGAGGAGGAGGAGGAGGAGGAGGAGGAGGAGGAGGGGUUAAUAGACAAUACAUUAGAUAUGUUAACAACACAGUAACCUGGAGGAGGAGGAGGAGGAGGAGGAGGAGGAGGAGGAGGAGGAGGA